rnacentral:RNase_P_RNA from 1 species
GUCACUCUCUGUCUAUGUCCCCUGGGAAGGUCUGAGAUUGGGGCCAUCUAGCGGCCCUAACAGGGCCCUCCCCGAGCCCGGGGAGGUGAGUUCCCAGAGAACGGGGCUCCGUGCGAGGGCAGACUAGGCAGGAGAUGCCGCGGGCCCCAGCCGGUCCCGGCGGAUGCCUCCUCGACCGGAGCUUGGAACAGACUCACGGCCAGCAAAGUGAGUUCAAUGGCUGAGGUGGGGUACCCCGCCCCGGGGGCCCCAUAACCUAAUUCAGACUACUCUCCC